ACUAUCUAUAAUAGAAAUGGGAGUUGGGGGGUGUACGAGCACUCCAUAAAUAAUGGUAUAAGAGGCACUGAAGGUGGUACUAAAAAUGGCACUGGGGUGGGACACGCGUACGCCGUCCUCUUCAUCCAUGUAGCAGCCUUAUUUUCUCUCACAUCUAUUUUGCCUCACAUUUCUUCCCCUCCUUUCUCUGGUUAUCACUCUUUCAGGGAAGCUUUGUUUCUUGCUCUUUUUUGCCAGCAGUAGCUUCGCUUCUAAUAAGGUAUGCAGCAGUUGUGUACGCGAAGAAAAGAAGAAGGCAGUGUGGUUGGGCAAACUUUACAUGAUCUUCGCGCAACAUCAAUUAAUGUCGCUAAGACGAUUGUUGAAGGAUAAAAUCCUUUGGUCUCACUAGCUAGACAAUAGAUUCAAGGCAAACUCUCUAAAUACUUAGAUGAGCCGGAAUUUCAAAUAAAGCAGCAAAAUUGAAAGAAAAUCAAACGAAUGGAAUGAAAAAUCGACAAAAGAAGACCUAAAAUCAAAAGGAAAAAAGUAAAAUCAGAGAUAUUGGUGACUGCUAGAUACCACCGGGACAGAAGAAUGGUACAAAAUCUCCUAGGAGAAAAAUGUCCAUUAAGGGAAGCUGAACAUUUUAAUUGGGAGAUACAAAUGAGGGCAGCAACGGACAUCAUAAAAACUUGACCUACUGUUGUGUACAUCACAAAAGACUACAACCAUGAAGUAGUGGGAAUUUUCAGCUUUCUUAUUGAGGCUUGUGCACAGCUAUCCAAUUAUCUUCAUGUUGUUUGUUAAAGAAGAGGCAAAUAUCAUUCAAGAUUAAACUUCUGCAGUAAAAGAAAAUGCCACUUUUGUACUACUGUUGCUACUAAUGCUCUUACUGCUCUUAAGUGAAUAGUGUAGCUCCGUAGGAAUGAUGAAACAACUACAUUCUGUUGUAUUUCAUCUUCUUAUGAUACUUAAAAAUGUAGCUAAAUCUUCUUUUUUGGGUUGAA